GGGAAGUCAAACUUCGGAGAAAAAUUAGAGACCAUCACAUCCUUAACAAAAAUAAGGAGGUGACAGCUGCAAAUUGAUAGCAAAUCAACAGCCGGAUCCUAUGUACUAUUUCCUUUUAUUUUUUUUCAUUUGUAAGCUAUAUAAGUGGCCGUGCUGUGUUUCUGAGAUGUACACAAAAAUUAUGAAAUACAAGUUUUCAGUAAUCCUCUCUGAUUUACAACAUGGUAUCAGAGCAGGUUUCUGAUUCUUGAAACCAUUGCUCCUCUACAACCUCGCCGAAAAAAAUUCUCAAAAAAACUCAACUCAAACCAAAACCAAACUCCCAAAAUCAAAAAAAAAAAAAAAAAAAAAAAACAAACCCACCUGUGAGAACCACCGUCGACAUUUUUCUAAACCCCGAACAGCCACCGGUCAGAACCAAACCGAACAGAUCCGAGCCUCCAUCCGACACCCUUCGGUUUAAACAGAAAACCCGGUACCCUGGUUCUUCCGUGACUCAUCGAGCCUUCUUCUCUACUUCUUUCGGUUUGGUAAUAGCCGGAGGAGGAGGAGGCCUUGCCGGAGAAGAGGGAGGCGCUGCUGGAUCGUUCACCGUUCUGUUUCUCCGAACACACAUAGAUGUGUGACCGGUGCGAUUAUUGGACGUGGUACUGAGCGCCAAGGAUUAUACUACGUGGAUGAAGUGGCUCAACAUGGUACUGUGAUGUUGGCACAUGGAACUGAAAACCGAGAAGCCUGGCUAUGGCAUAGACGUUUGGGGCAUCCAUCCACUGGUUAUUCAUAUCUCUUGUUUCCAAAACUCUU
rnacentral:lncRNA from 1 species